rnacentral:lncRNA from 1 species
CACCAUUCGCCCCUUCGGUUCAAUCUGUUCAGACUCACCAUUCGCGGAAAUCGUUUUCGAGAGUAGACACGUCUCUACGAAAAGAACGCGCCAUGGUUCUUUAGGGUACACAAGGAGUUGUCUUACACGACCACGUCAUCUGCAUUUUCUAGGGUCGUCUUCAUUGUAGAGAGUUGAUAUGUCGAGGAGACCAGGCUGAGGACGCCGGGGAGACCAGGUUGAGGAUUCGCGUGUUUUAGUAUCGGUGUCAUGCUGGUUACCCUGUGUGUGCAACAGCACUUAAGGUGUGACACACGAUGGAAGGAAGUCUGUCUCAAGUUGCAGCGGACUCCACUCUCCCCGAUGAGGACGGGAACGUCAUGUUUGUUUUAGACCAAACAAAUCGAGUUCGCGCGUUGCCAGAAGACCACUUGGAAGAUGCGCAUUUUCUGAGUCGCGAAAUGUCAAGCUUUGCAGCGAGUGAGCACUUGUUGCAUAUGACAGUUUUCUGUUGUGACCUGCUGAUGCCAUCCGGCGCUACGCAACGACUGCGAUCUGUGGCGUUCCUUUCUUGCACUCUAUCGGUACAACUCUCUGCAUGAAACUUGCGAACAACAUGUCUUUUGCGUUAAAAUCUCUAACGAC